CAACCUGCCUAUAACUAGGGAAUAACCUUGCGAAAGUAAGACUAAUACCCUAUGAUUUCCUUUGAUGACAUCAGAUUAGGAAUAAAGAUUUAUCGGUUAUAGAUGGGGAUGCGUCUGAUUAGCUUGUUGGCGGGGUAACGGCCCACCAAGGCAACGAUCAGUAGGGGUUCUGAGAGGAAGGUCCCCCACAUUGGAACUGAGACACAGUCCAAACUCCUACGGGAGGCAGCAGUGAGGAAUAUUGGUCAAUGGGCGGAAGCCUGAACCAGCCAAGUAGCGUGCAGGAUGACGGCCCUAUGGGUUGUAAACUGCUUUUAUACAGGAAUAAAGUUAGCCACGUGUGGUUAUUUGUAGGUACUGUAUGAAUAAGGACCGGCUAAUUCCGUGCCAGCAGCCGCGGUAAUACGGAAGGUCCAGGCGUUAUCCGGAUUUAUUGGGUUUAAAGGGAGCGUAGGCCGUCUGUUAAGCGUGUUGUGAAAUGUAGAUGCUCAACAUCUGAAUUGCAGCGCGAACUGGCAGACUUGAGUGUGCGCAACGUAGGCGGAAUUCGUGGUGUAGCGGUGAAAUGCUUAGAUAUCACGAAGAACUCCGAUUG
rnacentral:rRNA from 1 species